rnacentral:misc_RNA from 1 species
GAAACGCGAUAGGUAAUGUGAAUUGCAGAAUUCCGUGAAUCAUCGAAUCUUUGAACGCACAUUGCGCCUGCUGGUAUUCCGGUAGGCAUGCCUGUUUGAGCGUCAGCAAAACCUCUCAGUGAUAAUUUUUUAUUGUUGGUUAUGGGCGAAGAGUAUGGCCUUUAGUCACUCUUCCCUUAAAACUCGCCGCAUGGCCGCAAGCUUAUGCUAGGUUAAUGGAGUGGUGUUUACAAUAUUCCAGCCACCAGUAAAGCGAACAGCGUUAAAAUCAGAUGUUGCUUUACCGCAACUGAAGUUUGACCUCAAAUCAGACAAGGAUACCCGCUGAACUUAA